UGGGGAAUAUUGCACAAUGGGCGCAAGCCUGAUGCAGCCAUGCCGCGUGUAUGAAGAAGGCCUUCGGGUUGUAAAGUACUUUCAGCGAGGAGGAAGGCGUUGUGGUUAAUAACCGCAACGAUUGACGUUACUCGCAGAAGAAGCACCGGCUAACUCCGUGCCAGCAGCCGCGGUAAUACGGAGGGGGCAAGCGUUAAUCGGAAUUACUGGGCGUAAAGCGCACGCAUGCGGUCUGUCAAGUCGGAUGUGAAAUCCCCGGGCUCAACCUGGGAACUGCAUCCGAAACUGGCAGGCUAGAGUCUUGUAGAGGGGGGUAGAAUUCCAGGUG
rnacentral:rRNA from 1 species